rnacentral:rRNA from 1 species
CAGUCGCCGCGGUAAUACGAGGGGGGCAAGCGUUGUUCGGAGUUAUUGGGCGUAAAGGGUGCGUAGGCGGUUUGGUAAGUCUUGUGUGAAAUCUUCGGGCUCAACCCGAAGCCUGCACGAGAAACUGCCGGGCUUGAGUAUGGGAGAGGUGAGUGGAAUUUCCGGUGUAGCGGUGAAAUGCGUAGAUAUCGGAAGGAACACCUGUGGCGAAAGCGGCUCACUGGACCAUUACUGACGCUGAUGCACGAAAGCUAGGGGAGCAAACAGGAUUAGAUACCCGAGUAGUCCCUGUCUCUUAUAC